rnacentral:rRNA from 1 species
AGUCUGGUGCCAGCAGCCGCGGUAAUUCCAGCUCUCAAAAUGCAUAGAAUCAUUGCUGCGGUUAAAAAGCUCGUAGUUGGAUCUGUGCUGGCGGGUCGGUCCACCUUCGGGUGCGCACUGAUUUCGCCGGCUUUCCUGCUGUAUUUGGCCCUGUGCCUUUCAACGGGUGCAGUGUCCAGUGCAGCAAGUUUACCUUGAACAAAUCAGAGUGCUUCAAACAGGCGUUUCGCUUGAAUGUUCGUGCAUGGAAUAAUAGAAGAGGAUUUCGGUUCUAUUUUAUUGGUUUUAUAGACUGAGAUAAUGGUUAACAGAGACUAACGGGGGCAUUAGUAUUGCUACGUGAGAGGUGAAAUUCUUGGACCGUAGCAAGACUGACUACAGCGAAAGCAUUUGCCAAGAAAGUCUUCAUUAAUCAAGAACGAAAGUCAGAGGUUCGAAGGCGAUCAGAUACCGCCCUAGUUCUGACCGUAAACGAUGCCAACUAGUGAUCCGCCGGUGGAACAUUCGCCCUGGUGGGGAACUUCCCGGAAACGAAAGUCUUCCGGUUCCGGGGGAAGUAUGGUUGCAAAGCUGAAACUUAAAGGAAUUGACGGAAGGGCACCACCAGGAGUGGAGCCUGCGGCUUAAUUUGACACAACACGGGAAAACUCACCCGGCCCGGACACCGUAAGGAUUGACAGAUUGAUAGCUCUUUCAUGAUUCGGUGGAUGGUGGUGCAUGGCCGUUCUUAGUUCGUGGAGCGAUUUGUCAGGUUUAUUCCGAUAACGAGCGAGACUCUGGCCUACUAAAUAGUUUACACAUUGCUUCUGUGUGCAUAACUUCUUAGAGGGAUUUUCGGUGUUCAGCCGCAAGAAAUUGAGCAAUAACAGGUCUGUGAUGCCCUUAGAUGUCCGGGGCUGCACGCGCGCUACACUGGCAAAAUCAGCGUGCUUGUCCUUCCCCGAAAGGGGUUGGUAAACUCGUGAAAAUUUGCCGUGAUUGGGAUCGGAAAUUGCAAUUAUUUUCCGUGAACGAGGAAUUCCAAGUAAGUGCGAGUCAUCAACUCGCGUUGAUUACGUCCCUGCCCUUUGUACACACCGCCCGUCGCUGCCCGGGACUGAGCCGUUUCGAGAAACUUGGAGACCGCUGAUCUGGUAACUUCGAUUGCCAUUUUGGUGGGAACCAAUUUAA